GCUCUCCCGGUCUCGCGUCGUUACUCCUGCGUGAAGCGGUGAGUCGCGCGCGGAUCGGCGACUCACUCUGGGGGUCUCCGCCGCUGAACCCUCCUGAAAGACUGACUGGCGGAAACUGGGACUGGAGUGUGAGCAUCUGAGGGGCUCUCCAGUGGGGUUUGGAGAGGAAUGUCUCAAAUGACUUUUCUUGAAAGCUGAGGGAGGUUUUGAAGAUCAAGUGAAGGAAGAGGGCCUAGCUCGUCUGCUGGUGGCAUCUUCUCAUCAAUCAUGUCAUCAAUUGCUAGAAAUAUGAGAACUCUCCAGAAGAUCAAGUACCGUGUAGUAGUUACCAUGCACAGGCCCCAUAGAGCCCUGGCCUUUGAGAAUGCCCUAUUCACCAACCCAAAAGAAGGUCCCAUGUGACAAAGUUUGGAUUAGACAUUACAAAUGGCUUCCAAUGGACUACUUGCCAGACUUUGUCAUGGGAACCAUCUGACGAGCAGAACAAAGUGCAAGUGCAUAAGCAACUUCCAAUGAGAACCUAUGUAUGGGCUUGGCCCAGGUAUCUUGAAACCCUGGGAAGACCUAAAUAUAAACAAAAUUUUGCAAAGGAGAAGGGAAUCAUGAACAAAUCACCUUUCUAUAAGACACCACAAACGAUGACUGGAGAUCUGAAUUGGAAAUGCCACUGCAGCCCUGUGACCCAAGGCUCUGGAAUGGAUCAGCCCUCCUACUCACUCCCUCCUGCACACACUGCGUCUCCAUGGAAACAGCUUGUCAGGCCCUGUUUGGCUGCAGGUUCUGAAGACCUCUCAUCAGCAGCCCCAGUCCUGCACAGAUUCAGUCUUAAUAAGCCAGGCUUCUAAGGAGGAACUUGCACUAGGAGGCCCAUCCUCUCUAGCUGGUGAGGUCUGGAAUUGUCCUUAAGUCUCCUUUGGGGUAUACCUGGGGAGUCCUGAAUGCCACUGAGUUGCCCUGACCUUCCAACACUGAUAUUCAGGUCAAUGGCAGGGUUUCCAUCCUAGGUUCCUGCUUCAACCUGAACUCAUCAUCUCCUUCCAGCAAGCCUUCUGCUCCCAUCAUCUCUCCCCACCCACCAAAGGUGAAAGUCAUUCUGAGCUCUACAGGCCCCACCUGUGGCUAAUCACCAAGGUCAGUUGGUAACUACUUUUGUAUCACUCAACCUCAUCUUUCUUACAUCCCUAUUGCCUCUGCUAUAGUUCAGGCCCACAUUAUUUUCUUCUUCAAUUACUGCAAGAUCCUCCAACCUGGUCCUCCUACUUCUAUACUUGCUUUCCUUACAUCCAAUCUCCAUAUUACAACCAGUGAGAAAACUUCCUGAAAAAACAGAUCUGACACGUCCUUCUCCCACAGAAAGUCAGUGGUUCCCAUUGCCCUCAGGAUAGAACUUAGACCCUCUUACAUACACACAAGAUUACACCUUUAAUCUGACCCCUGCUCACCUCUCCAGGAUCAUCUCUUGCCCCUUCCCCUGCAUAUUCUGAUCUUGGCCACACCAAACCACUUACCUUCUCCAAUGAACCACCUGUUCUCUCUUGCCUCUGUGACUUUUCACUGUUGCCUCCUUCACCUGGAGUGUCCCUUCUCCAUGCCCCACCGCCCCCAUAAACCUUUCACAUUCUUGGGGAAGCUUUUCCAACUGUCAAAUAUUAAGUGCCUCUUCUAUGUUCUCUUAGAGCUCCUAUGUUUACUCCCUUUCUGCUGAACUGUCAACUCCCUGAGGGCAAGGAAUAUGCCAACCUCUAGUUCAGUGCCUAAUAUAAUCACUCAAAU